AUUGAACGCUGGCGGCAUGCUUUACACAUGCAAGUCGAACGGCAGCGCGGGCUUCGGCCUGGCGGCGAGUGGCGAACGGGUGAGUAAUGCAUCGGAACGUGCCCAGUAGUGGGGGAUAGCCCGGCGAAAGCCGGAUUAAUACCGCAUACGACCUGAGGGUGAAAGCGGGGGACCGAAAGGCCUCGCGCUAUUGGAGCGGCCGAUGUCGGAUUAGCUAGUUGGUGGGGUAAAGGCUUACCAAGGCGACGAUCCGUAGCUGGUCUGAGAGGAGGACCAGCCACACUGGGGGUGAGACACGGCCCAGACUCCUACGGGAGGCAGCAGUGGGGAAUUUUGGACAAUGGGGGCAACCCUGAUCCAGCCAUGCCGCGUGCGGGAAGAAGGCCUUCGGGUUGUAAACCGCUUUUGUUCGGGAAGAAAUCCUCUGGGCUAAUACCCCGGGGGGAUGACGGUACCGGAAGAAUAAGCACCGGCUAACUACGU
rnacentral:rRNA from 1 species